GACAGAGGUGCCAAGCGUUAUUCGGAAUUACUGGGCUUAAAGAGUUCGUAGGCGGCAUUGCAAGUAGGGUGUGAAAGCCCUCGGCUCAACCGAGGAAUUGCGCUCUAAACUGCAGUGCUUGAGGAACCUAGAGGUGAGCAGAACAGAUGGUGGAGCGGUGAAAUGCGUUGAUAUCAUCUGGAAUACCGGAGGCGAAGGCGGCUCACUGGGAGUUUUCUGACGCUGAGGAACGAAAGCCAGGGUAGCGAACGGG
rnacentral:rRNA from 1 species